rnacentral:rRNA from 1 species
UACGUAGGGGGCAAGCGUUGUCCGGAUUUAUUGGGCGUAAAGAGCGUGUAGGCGGCCUGAUAGGUCAGCUGUGAAAACUCGAGGCUCAACCUCGAGACGUCGGUUGAAACCAUCUGGCUAGAGUCCGGAAGAGGAGUGUGGAAUUCCCGGUGUAGCGGUGAAAUGCGCAGAUAUCGGGAAGAACACCAGUGGCGAAGGCGGCACUCUGGGACGGUACUGACGCUGAGACGCGAAAGCGUGGGGAGCGAACAGG